rnacentral:tRNA from 1 species
UAAAAUGGCUGAGUAUUAAAGGCAAUAAAUUGUAAAUUUAUUAACGAAUUUUAAUUCUUUUAUCA